ACGUAGGUGGCAAGCGUUGUCCGGAUUUACUGGGCGUAAAGCGAGCGCAGGCGGGGUCUUAAGUCUGCUGUGAAAACCUUGGGCUUAACCCAAAAACUGCAGUUGAAACUGGUAAACUUGAGUGCAGUAGAGGAAGGCGGAAUUCCGAGUGUAGCGGUGAAAUGCGUAGAUAUACGGAAGAACACCAGUGGCGAAGGCGGCCUACUGGUCUGUAACUGACGCUGAGGCUCGAAAGUGUGGGUAGCAAACAG
rnacentral:rRNA from 1 species